UAGGUUUACUUAUCUAGGAUUGCACUCUCAAGUCUCAUCCUAAUCUAGGCAUUUUUGAGGCUUAAAGGAAGGAGGUCAAGAAACUCCUUCCAUCUCCAUAAUUCAUUAAGGUUUAAAUAUGAGGCCACUUUUCUAUCCAGGUGAAGAAGAGGCACAAAGUUCUUCAAGUUAAAUGGGAGGAGCGAUCGUUAAUCCAAUUAUCUUACCAUAAGUUAAUCAACUCUAUGUUACCAACGUCCCAUCUCAUCCUUAGUUUCGAUGAAGUUAUAUUGGCUAUAUUUUCUAAGUCAAGGAAUUAUGGGAUAGGCUUCAUAAUGUUCAAAGCAGCUUUAUCAGGGAAGUAUUUAGCUUUAGGAACUUGCAUCAUAAACUAUCCUACUCAUGGAGGAGUCUCCAACACACCAUUUGGAUAUCACAUUUUUAUAAAUGCAUAACCCUUCUUGCUUUUUAACAUUGCAAAUCCAACUCUUUUUUACUAAUGAGACUCUAGGUUUCCCACCUUUGGACCCCCAUAUGAAGUUCCUUAUGAGAGCAAAGUGAUUUACAUGGUAUAUGAUGGAAUUAUGGAAAUGAUAAACAUGGUUAAAGUGGUUCUCCCAACCAUUGAAAGAUGGAAGAUAUGUUAAUUAACAAGACACUUUUGAAUACGAUCCACAAUCCCUUAGUAAGUACAACGAGUGGUUCUUGAGUGAAUGAGUGGAACUCUUAGAUAUUAUCCCAAAUCUGUAGUACUGGAUAUUGUGUUCAUUUUACUGAGCUCUCUAGCAACUUCCUUAGAAAAAAUUUUCAAUAUGGGAU
rnacentral:lncRNA from 1 species